rnacentral:rRNA from 1 species
UACGGAGGAUCCAAGCGUUAUCCGGAUUUAUUGGGCGUAAAGAGCUCGUAGGCGGUUCGUCGCGUCGGCUGUGAAAUCCCGAGGCUCAACCUCGGGUCUGCAGUCGAUACGGGCGGACUGGAGUUCGGCAGGGGAGACUGGAAUUCCUGGUGUAGCGGUGAAAUGCGCAGAUAUCAGGAGGAACACCGGUGGCGAAGGCGGGUCUCUGGGCCGAUACUGACGCUGAGGAGCGAAAGCGUGGGGAGCGAACAGG